rnacentral:RNase_P_RNA from 2 species
GAGAGUAGGCGCUGGCAGUUGCAGAACUAUACAUAAUCAUAGUUUUGAGGAAAGUCCGGACUCCCGAAAGACCAAACUUGCUGGAUAACGUCCAGUGCGAGCGAUCGUGAGGAUAGUGCCACAGAAAGAUACCGCCAAAACAAGUAAAAAGUAAAAAGUAAAAAAGCAAAAGAAACAAAAAUUUCUUUUUACUUUUGCCCUUUAACUUUUACCUUUUUUGGUAAGGGUGCAAAGGUGCGGUAAGAGCGCACCAGCAACAUCGAGAGGUGUUGGCUCGGUAAACCCCGGUUGGGAGCAAGGCCAGAGGAACUACGGUUGGUCUUUUACCAGUUCCGCGUAUGAGAGCCGCUAGAGGCGUUUGGUAACAAACGUCCCAGAUAGAUAACUGCCAUCUUGUAAAAUUUUUUACAUAGAUAACAGAACCCGGCUUACUACCAACUCUCUCCU